GAUGAACGCUGGCGGCGUGCCUAAUACAUGCAAGUCGAGCGAACAGAUAAGGAGCUUGCUCCUUUGACGUUAGCGGCGGACGGGUGAGUAACACGUGGGUAACCUACCUAUAAGACUGGGAUAACUUCGGGAAACCGGAGCUAAUACCGGAUAACAUUUGGAACCGCAUGGUUCUAAAGUGAAAGGUGGUUUUGCUAUCACUUAUAGAUGGACCCGCGCCGUAUUAGCUAGUUGGUAAGGUAACGGCUUACCAAGGCGACGAUACGUAGCCGACCUGAGAGGGUGAUCGGCCACACUGGAACUGAGACACGGUCCAGACUCCUACGGGAGGCAGCAGUAGGGAAUCUUCCGCAAUGGGCGAAAGCCUGACGGAGCAACGCCGCGUGAGUGAUGAAGGGUUUCGGCUCGUAAAACUCUGUUAUUAGGGAAGAACAAAUGUGUAAGUAACUGUGCACGUCUUGACGGUACCUAAUCAGAAAGCCACGGCUAACUACGUG
rnacentral:rRNA from 1 species